GCCAUUGAGAAGUACAGAGGAAGGGGAGAAAGGGAGGGACGGGAAGGUAGCAGUCAUUUGGAGCCUCACCAUCCCCUCCUCCAGAGUAUCCACUGCUUGUGAUUUAUAUCCACACACAGAAGCAUAACACACAAGUGUGCUUGGCAGUGGCUCAUUGACGGGCUCACAGAUGAAACAACAGUCAGCUAACAUCCAGCAUUAAAUGGAAAAAAAAAAUAGCUACUUUCAUUCUUCAGUGUAAAGAGUAACUAUUGUAAGUUUCAAGUUUCAUUCGUUUAGCAAAUUUAUACUGAGUGCCGGGCACUGUUCUAGGCACUGGUGAGACAGUGAUGGACACACAACAAAGUGUUCUAUUCUCAUUGAGGAGCAACUUAAAAAGGUCUCGGAGGGGGUUGGUGAUGUGGAUGGGUGGGUGGUGAUGGGCUGGGGGCAGCGGGCCAAGCGACCAUCAGAUAAGGAUGGUCAGGGAGCCCUCUGUGAUGUCACAUGUCAGCAGAGACCUGAACAAAGAGAAAAAGGCGACAUGCAAAGAUCUGUUUGGGAAGAGUGGGCAUGUGCAAAGGCCCUGGGGUAUGAAAAGGUGUGGCACGUUUGGGGAAGGGAAAGAAGAAGGCUGGAGUGUUUGGAGGUGGGAGAAGGAGAUCAGAGAGCCGGGCAGAGGCCAGAUCACAAAGGCCUCAUCAUGACCUGUCAUGGCAAGAAGUUUGAAGGUCUCCUCAAUCCAGUGAGAAGCCACUAAAGGGCUUGAAGCAGCAGAGGAUUCAAUUUACGUUUUUAAAAGACUGGUCUGGCUGCUGUUUGGAAACGUAUCUUUGAGAGAAAAGCCAGGACACAAGGAGACAAAUACCAUUGAUGAACACGGCUUUGUUCCAGGUGGCAGCUGUAGGUCUGAGACGAAGUUGAAAGUCAAGUCCCAUAGGACCAGAGGACCGGCUGUGAGCUGGAUGUGCAGUGUCCUAACCUUGCUGAAGUAUUCUCUCCCUCAGCAUAGAGUCAGCUGUCCUUUCCAGAGAGCUUGUUGCUAAAGGAAAUUUCCAGUGGAUUCUCGGUCCCUUCUCCUCUGGGCUACCAAAGUCAUCGCUUUCCACAGGGCAGACUGGGAAGUAGGCUGCGGUCGUUGCUGAUGAGGGAGUUGUUUGCCUUCUCAAUGUUGACGUCAUCUCCCACGCAGAACACAUCGCAGGCUGCCUGUGGCAC